CAAAUCUUGGCGGUGGAUCACUCGGUUCGUGGAUCGAUGAAGAACGCAGCCAGCUGCGAUAAAUAGUGCGAAUUGCAGACACAUUGAGCACUAAGAAUUCGAACGCACAUUGCGCUAUCGGGUUCAUUCCCCAUGGCACGUCUGGCUGAGGGUCGAAUU
rnacentral:rRNA from 1 species